UCCGUAGGUGAACCUGCGGAGGGAUCAUUACCGAGUUUACAACUCCCAAACCCAAUGUGAACGUUACCAAACUGUUGCCUCGGCGGGAUCUCUGCCCCGGGUGCGUCGCAGCCCCGGACCAAGGCGCCCGCCGGAGGACCAACCAAAACUCUUUUUGUAUACCCCCUCGCGGGUUUUUUAUAAUCUGAGCCUUCUCGGCGCCUCUCGUAGGCGUUUCGAAAAUGAAUCAAAACUUUCAACAACGGAUCUCUUGGUUCUGGCAUCGAUGAAGAACGCAGCGAAAUGCGAUAAGUAAUGUGAAUUGCAGAAUUCAGUGAAUCAUCGAAUCUUUGAACGCACAUUGCGCCCGCCAGUAUUCUGGCGGGCAUGCCUGUCCGAGCGUCAUUUCAACCCUCGAACCCCUCCGGGGGGUCGGCGUUGGGGAUCGGCCCUGCCUUGGCGGUGGCCGUCUCCGAAAUACAGUGGCGGUCUCGCCGCAGCCUCUCCUGCGCAGUAGUUUGCACACUCGCAUCGGGAGCGCGGCGCGUCCACAGCCGUUAAACACCCAACUUCUGAAAUGUUGACCUCGGAUCAGGUAGGAAUACCCGCUGAACUUAAGCAUAUCAAUAAGCGGAGGA
rnacentral:rRNA from 1 species